CUCUUCCAUGAUUACUGAGAAAUCUACUUCUCUACAAAUAAAGUUUUUCUUCUUCUGUGAAACUCAUCAGUCUCUCCACCCAUUCCUUAUUUUUGAUAUCAAACCCAGACUCCAACAAUGGCAAACUCCCACCCUUCUCCUCUCUCACCUGAAAUCCAGUCGCUCUGCUCAGACAAGAAUUGAGCCAUUAAUGAGAGAAAAGAAUUGAGCUCAUGGGAAGUGUAUUCUCCUGGAUAAACAUCCUCAGCCUAUGUUUUCCAUUUCAGCGAACCUUCAAACCAUAAGCCUAAUACUCUUUUCAAUUUUUCUUUGUGGUUUGAAGAUUCUGAGUUUAACAAAUGAAAGGGAUAUGAUCAACUCAUUCUAUUUUCAUUCUACUAUAUCUGGUUGAUGGUUCAAGUUUUUAUUGGUUCACAAAUGGAAUAUAAGAAUAUGAAUUUGUUUUCAGAGAUUAGGAGAACAAUUGACAAUGACAUAUCAAGACAUGGUUUCUCUACAAUCGGGGGCGAGCCAACACUAUCUGUAGAAAGAAGGAGUUCAAGUCCUAAGCUGAAGAAUCUUUCAUUAUGUUUCAUAAUACGCAUAUAUAUAUAUAUAUAUAUAUUUUUUCUCUUUGAUCAUAUGUCAAUCAAGUAAAAAAGAAGGGCUCCCUGAUUUCUAGAACCAAAUCUUCCAAAAUUGAUACUAGUCUAAGAAUAGUUAACAGCAUCCGAGCUUCUUUGACGGAGCUUCCUGAAACGAAGCACAUGAGAUAUGAUGUGAUAGGUUUAGGCAUUCAAGAUGUGGUUUUCCUACCAGAAGACACAAGUGUAAGUCAUAUAUGCGAAAACAGUUUUGUAAGACCAUCUCCGACGUAGGAUUUAAACAAAUCCUUAGCAUCAAUCUUAAUAUUAUUUGAUUAUAAUAACAUUAUAAUUCAUGAACCUGCUAAGAAAGAAUCCUUGAGUAAGGAUUUUAAGGAUCAAGUCCUUGAAGAGGGGGCAACAUUCCUCUUCCUUGAUUCCACUCUCUUGCCUUGUCUUUCUUCUUCUUUCUUCUGAUCUCGAACUUUCGGAACGGUGAGCUGAGGAUGUACAGAUUCAACCCGAUCUUAUCCGGAUCCGACCAGAUUCAACCCGACAAGAAAUCUCUAUCUGUCUCUGUUUCGUUCAACGAAAUUGGACCUGGGCUUUUCCUUACUCUGUAUCGAUUUUCCUUACCGGUAGCGAGUUCGAGGAAGUGUCUGAAGGAAGCGAUUUUCCUAUCGCCGCAUCUCAGGGAGAGCAAUGGAGGAUCCGAUUCUAUCUCCAUACGAUCUAUCUCUCGGAUUAGCGAGUGGCGACUCCGUGGUUAGCGAGUCCUCAUCUUCAGACUUGUUUUCUUAAUUUCAACGGAUUGCCUCCUGUUUUCACCUACACAAGGCAGCUCUUUCGCGCUUCUGAUGGUGGAACAAUUGCAUUGGACUGGCUCACCAACUCUCAUGUUCUUGAUGGGGACCUUCACAAUCAGAAAGAGAUCACAAAACAAGACACAACUCCUAUAGCUGUCGUGGUUCCCGGGUUAACUAGUGAUUCUUCUUCUGCCUCAGAUCGCUUCUACAAUGCUGGAUGGACAGAUAAACUUUGCUCUGUCCGCAUCUGAGCUUGGGAAUACUGGGUGAGACUAGGUUCGGCCGUGCACUGCACAUGAUCAAUGCAGAGGCCCUACGGCUAAGACAUUUGUGCUUGACACUGAUACAAACACCUGGACUGACUUCGUUCCCUUACCAGUUCCUAGUUUGAAUGCAGGGAAUUUAGAGAAUCAAUUCUUGGUGUUAUGCAGGCUCGCUACUGACAUGUGGAUGCACCCGAUACUUCCGAGAUGAGUUUCAAAGUUCAAUUGUUUUCAUGUUUAACACAGUUUCAUAUUAUUUUUAACUCAAUGCAAUUGACAAUAUUGUUUCACUUCUAAACAUAUGCAUUUCACAUUAUAAUUUUUUUCCUCUAA